CUUAAGUACACAAACAGACAUGCAUCGGCGAGCGAUGAGCUACAAGAAGGUGAGGCGGGAAGGCAGAUGAUGCCAGGCCUUGCGACCCCCAGCCUGACACCAGGAUCCCAGUCUGCCACAGAGAUGCCUGAGGAAGGCUGCCCCUUCACACAGGGGUGGCAAAGCUGGCUGAGGGAACUUUACCAUACCCCCUCCAUAAAAACCACCCACUCUCUGUAGCCUCUUUCUCUCUGGUUCUUGAAACCUUGAAAGCAGUGACUGUACGGGAACCUGACUCCAGGCUCCGGCCUUGCGACGAGUUUGUCAGACCAGGGUGCUGGUAGACAGUCUGGCCAAAAUCUGCAGUCUCACUCACGGUGGGGCGUGGCUGUCACCUCAGCGACCUGCCUCAUGUGAUGUUGUUUAUCUCAACCAGUCAGAGCCAGAACGGCCUGGAUGGAAGCCCAGAAAUCUGGAUUUGUCCAAGGCUUGUGUGAGCAAUGCAGAAAGCUUCACUGGCAUUAGCUGGAUACUGUGCUGCACGUCAUGAGCAACUGGACUUUCACAUCACAACGACUCGCGCCCAUUUGCCACUCGCUUAUGUGUGCAUAUGCAGGGUUGCUUGAGGACAAAAUUAAGCCUGUGUCUGCCUCUGUAGAAGACCUAGGAGCCUGAAACUGGAUCAGGCCCAGGCUAAAGGCCAGGGAGGAGACAUCGACUUGAAUGGCUUCAGAUAUCAACACGACCUUUUUCAACAAAUUUCUACAGCAGGUAUUUACAGUGAAACUGCAUCCUCCUCCUCAGUUUUAAGGAUGAAACUGCGGAUAUGACCGACACGAAAUGCCCUGCUACUGAUGUCGAUCUCCUCUUACCUAAAACUCUACAUCUGUGUCAUAUCUGUUGUAUCGUUACAUCUGUUAUACUAUUUCUACGGUCGCCACCGUAUCUGUUAUAUUGUGUGGGUGACCCUAGCUCCUCUAGUUAUGUUUAUUUUUAUUCUUUAUUUUUAUUUAUUAGCUAUUAUUCUCCUUUCCCCUCUCCCUCAUAGGUUGUACAUUAUCUGUACUUUGUGUAUAUAUACUGCACCGUGGUCCUGGGAAAUGCUAUUUUGUGCCACUGCUUUCUGUAGAUAGUAAAUACAUGAAAUGACAGUAAAGGCCCACUUGAAUUGACGUGAUUCAGCAUGAUGUUCUCAUGGAGGCCGUUCUCAUAGAAUGAUCGCAUACCCAUUUUCCAUUUUUUUUCGGUAUUUGUUUCCAAGGCCUGAAAAACAGUUUUAAUACCUUCCCUCUGGAAUGCGAAUUCCCUUAAGCACGUUGCUCACAUGAAGCUAAGCUCUCUAUCAGGUCA